AUCUGAUUAAUUCUGGUAUUUUUUGUAAUAGUCGAUUAUCAUACUCAGGGUUAAAAAGUGGUGAAAACUCGUAACUUCCUAUAUUCAGUCUACUCUAUUGGAUACAGCGUUGGAUUUGUCGUUGGUCCUAGUAUAAGCAGUAACAUCCAAAAGCCUAUAGAUCGGCAACUACUCUGUUGAUACCAAUUUCAAUCCGACAUUAUACUUCUUAAUACUCAUUCUGCAGGUGUUUCAGUAAUAUUUUCUAAUGAGCAGUAUCAAUCCAUUGCUUGGUUCAAUGUAGCUUUUGGAGUUACAUUGUUAAUCUUGUUCUGUUUUCUCUUCCGUGGAGAGAGUAAUGGAACAGAACUAAUUGUCAUGAGCUUUGUGUCUGCUCAAAAAACAACUCAAGUUCGACCAAGCCUGGACGCACUGCAAAUAUUCAUAGCAUUAUACCAAUGCAAGUGCAUAUCGAAAGCAUUAUAGCCAUACAGAGCAUUAUAAUUAUACGAGACUCAGUCAAAAUCUGUGCAAUAAUUGAAAACACACACAAUUGCACUGUCAAUCCUAUGUCAUGCAGAGCCUAUAAUUAUACUAAUUUCUAGCAAUAUUUGUUCAUUGUGAGUAUGCACUUGCUAUCGUUCGUACAAAUGCUGAAAUGGGCAUAUUUUGAGGCCAUAAUGAAUCCAAUUCUAAGUGAUUCAUUUGGGUUCUCUCUGAACACAUCUUCCUACGUCUUCUUGGGGGUGGCUAUCUCAAGCAUUCUAGGCUCCAUCUUACUGUAAGGUCUUGUUACAAAGAAUCAAAAUCAGUACACAGAUGGGAGCUUUCGUUGGUAUUUCAAUGACAAUUGCAGGAUACUUCUUGGUAUAACAGAUUGGCAGGCCAUACCUUAUGAUCCAUGCACUGAGUACAGUCCAUCCACCAUCCGGAUCGCUUUCAAAACAACCACUCAAGUCUACGAAAACAUUUAGCUUUGGAUAAUACUCCUCCAAGUUGGCCUACUCUCUUAAAUAAUCGUGCACACAUGGAUGUUGAGUUGGAUUUUGGCGAUCGAACGUACACAGAAAUUGCUUACCACUUUAAAUUCAGCUGCUACGUUGAUGAAUUUUGCCCAUUUUGCACCGAGAAAUCUACUAGCAAGCACCGGUGUUUGUCGUUUGUAAUUGAAGGUGAAAACGAAUCCUCAGAACAGGUGCUCGAUGUGUUUUCCUGUUCUUUAGCUCCUCCUUUACAAAAUAUUUGCCUCAGUAUUUCUCAUCAUCAAUCAACUGAUUCUGAGGAAGUUGAAAAUUUAAACGGAAAUCAUUUUGUAUAGCAGGCAUUCAAAGCUUAUUGGUACUCCCUCAAGAUGUGUACUCCACUGCAAGCAAUGCCUGUAUAAAUGCCAAUGUAUCAAUUAGUGGAGAGUGUCAUUGGAUACCGUUGUCAAGUGGUGAGGAAUGUGUGGAUUGUCCUCCUAUCUGCAGAGGAAAGCAACGGACACUACUGCUAUACCAUUGUAUCUGAUAGGGAUGGUGCUAUUGAUAGGAAGCUAUACCCUCUUGUCCGGGUGAAUUUGGUGGCCAUAGCUAACAACCAGAGUCCUGAAAGUGUUCAAGGUAUUGUGAUAGGAGGUAUCAAUGCAGCAAAUGGACUUGCUGAGAGUAUCAGCGUAAGAGAUACAAUGCCAUUAGCCCAGAGUAAUCAUGCAUAUAUAAUUAUACCAACAUAUUUUCGCGGGGUAUUAAUUUCUGUGUGAAUGAGAGUAAACUUGUACUCCCGGAUAAUUGGAAAAUGCUCAUUGAAAGAGGUUAUAAAGAAAGAAAAGAUGAAUCGUUCAAAGAAUGUAAUUAAAAGGUCGCGAUAAUUAGCUAAUUAGAGCUAAGGUUAAUCGUGUCCUCCCUCUAGUUGGGCGGAGUCCAACCAACGCUGCGCUCUGGGUUGGGUAUCAGUACACGUAGCAGUUUUGUUCCACCGGUACUUGAGACAGAGUAUGAAUAUUGUUUAAUCUUUAAGUGGCUGACAACCGCAUGGCUCAGGGGUGCGAUAUAAAGAAAUCAAUUAACUAUUUGGAUGGCUAUUCUAGCUGACUGGAUCUAGCUAUAGUUGUUUUGGAAUUCAAGAAAGACCUCAGACUCUUAGAGAAAGUAGAAGAAUACUGUAGCCUGUAAUAUAAGAUUUAGUACAGGCAGAAAUAAACUUUUUCAUAAUAGUUAGACAUCUAGCACAAGGAGAGGUACAGCCAGCUAUAAGACUACCCCAAGGCUUCUGAGAAGCUUUUCGAAGACUAAAGAAGGCAUACAUAACACAGGUUUUGUCCAAACUAAUGAUCUAAUCUUAUUGGUAGCACAACAAAACUUAAAACAAAGACAAGUCCUUUUAAUUAAUUAAUACAUACUGUUCAAGCUUCAUUCAUAGAUGCUAAGAUAGACUAUGCUUCUUUUCUAGUAGCCUAGAUAUCCAGCAGGAGCUGUUUCUGCAUUCUCCAGAGAAAUACAGUGUCCCAGCUCGCCUUGUCAGCUAAAUUGAGCUGUAAGGUUUCCCACUUGCAGCAAUCUGAUUGGGCUGCAAAUUUCUUGCAGUGGGAACAAAACUGCUAAGCGUUGGCAACGGAAGUGGUUCACGUGAUCAUUUUACAUGUGUUUCUGCAGUUUUGUAAUGAAACCAUCCGUGACUCGCCUGUUUUCCUGCCAGAAUGCCCGCGAAAAGCAGAAAAAGUCUGUUAUGGUCUUCCUUUAGUGCUUUAUGACCUCUCAUGGUGUUACACUGAUGUUGUGCUUUAUUUAGAGUUAGAUUAUCAUGCCAGUUUGUAAAACUAAAGAAACAAAGACUUUUUACUACAGAAAAACUACAAUUUUACAAGUCAUACUAUUAGAUCUUCAUCGUACUAUCAGUAUGCUGGAAGAAAUUUAUGAAGCUGAAGAAAGAAGAGUUGAUUGACUAUUUUGGGCUACAUAUUAAAAAACGAAAUGAAAGACUUUGUUACAUGCAAAAGACCUGUACAGUUGUAUAGCACCAGCUCUACCUCAUGCAGUAGCAGCAGUAGCAGUUCAUUAUGCAGCUUAGCAGUUUAUAUGACUUGUGAAAUGUUGAUAAUUAUUAAAAUUUGGUAUUAAUAAAAUGUCGUACAGAACAUGUUACAGAGAAUAUUGAUAAUGGCUACAGUACUAUCAGUCUAUCUAUGUUAUCUAGUUUUUGUGCAUACAAGCCCAGAGCUUAUAUCAAAUGUGAGAAUGGACAUGAACACAAGCAGUAUUGUCUAAGUAUUAAAGUGUUGUUUCUGAGCUUCUCUCUUUCUUGUUGACUUUGAGAAUCCCUCUCAGUAUUUAACUUGAGGCAGAUUCUUGGGAUGUCAACUUGCAUCUGUCAUCAAUGACUUC